rnacentral:rRNA from 1 species
AUGAACGCUGGCGGCGUGCUUAACACAUGCAAGUCGAACGGUGAACACGGAGCUUGCUCUGUGGGAUCAGUGGCGAACGGGUGAGUAACACGUGAGCAACCUGCCCCUGACUCUGGGAUAAGCGCUGGAAACGGCGUCUAAUACUGGAUAUGUGACGUGACCGCAUGGUCUGCGUUUGGAAAGAUUUUUCGGUUGGGGAUGGGCUCGCGGCCUAUCAGCUUGUUGGUGAGGUAAUGGCUCACCAAGGCGUCGACGGGUAGCCGGCCUGAGAGGGUGACCGGCCACACUGGGACUGAGACACGGCCCAGACUCCUACGGGAGGCAGCAGUGGGGAAUAUUGCACAAUGGGCGCAAGCCUGAUGCAGCAACGCCGCGUGAGGGAUGACGGCCUUCGGGUUGUAAACCUCUUUUAGCAGGGAAGAAGCGAAAGUGACGGUACCUGCAGAAAAAGCGCCGGCUAACUACGUG